rnacentral:rRNA from 1 species
UACGGAGGGGGCUAGCGUUGUUCGGAAUUACUGGGCGUAAAGCGCACGUAGGCGGCUUUGUAAGUUAGAGGUGAAAGCCCAGGGCUCAACUCUGGGACUGCCUUUAAGACUGCAUCGCUUGAAUCAUGGAGAGGUCAGUGGAAUUCCGAGUGUAGAGGUGAAAUUCGUAGAUAUUCGGAAGAACACCAGUGGCGAAGGCGACUGACUGGACAUGUAUUGACGCUGAGGUGCGAAAGCGUGGGGAGCAAACAGG